AUUGAACGCUGGCGGCAUGCCUUACACAUGCAAGUCGAACGGUAACGCGGGGGCAACCCUGGCGACGAGUGGCGAACGGGUGAGUAAUACAUCGGAACGUACCCAGUAGUGGGGGAUAGCUCGGCGAAAGCCGGAUUAAUACCGCAUACGACCUAUGGGUGAAAGCGGGGGAUCGCAAGACCUCGCGCUAUUGGAGCGGCCGAUGUCGGAUUAGCUAGUUGGUGAGGUAAAGGCUCACCAAGGCUACGAUCCGUAGCUGGUCUGAGAGGACGACCAGCCACACUGGGACUGAGACACGGCCCAGACUCCUACGGGAGGCAGCAGGU
rnacentral:rRNA from 1 species